AUUGAACGCUGGCGGCAGGCCUAACACAUGCAAGUCGAACGAGUGGCGGACGGGUGAGUACUGUCUGGCAAACUGCCCGAUGGAGGGGGAUAACUACCGGAAACGGUAGCUAAUCCCGCAUACCAUCGGAUGUGCCCAGAUGGGAUUAGCUAGUGGGUGGGGGAACGGCCGACCUAGGCGACGAUCCCUAGCUGGUCUGAGAGGAUGACCAGCAACACUGGAACUGAGACACGGUCCAGACUCCUACGGGAGGCAGCAGUGGGGAAUAUUGCACAAUGGGCGCAAGCCUGAUGCAGCCAUGCCGCGUGUAUGAAGAAGGCCUUCGGGUUGUAAAGUACUUUCAGCGAGGAGGCGUUACUCGCAGAAGAAGCACCGGCUAACUCCGUGCCAGCCGCCGCGGUAAUUG
rnacentral:rRNA from 1 species